rnacentral:rRNA from 1 species
CUCAGGAUGAACGCUAGCGACAGGCUUAACACAUGCAAGUCGAGGGGCAGCGAGGGCGUAGCAAUACGCCUGUCGGCGACCGGCGCACUGGUGAGUAACACGUAUGCGACCUGCCCCCCUACAGGGGGUAUAACCCGUAGAAAUGCGGACUAAUCCCCCCAUAGUCCUGGGUGCUGCAUGGCAUUCAGGGGAAAGGCCAGCCGGUAGGGGAUGGGCAUGCGGCGCAUUAGCUAGUUGGCGGGGCAACGGCCCACCAAGGCGACGAUGCGUAGGGGUUCUGAGAGGAAGGUCCCCCACACUGGUACUGAGACACGGACCAGACUCCUACGGGAGGCAGCAGUGAGGAAUAUUGGUCAAUGGGCGCAGGCCUGAACCAGCCAAGUCGCGUGAGGGAUGACGGUCCUACGGAUUGUAAACCUCUUUUGUCGGAGAGUAACGUGCGGGACGCGUCCCGUAUUGAGAGUACCCGAAGAAAAAGCAUCGGCUAACUCCGUG